GGGGAAAAAAAAUACCUCAGCUAUGUUAUGGCUCCAGGGCUGCGUUCGUACAUUCAGCAACUUAACAAAAAGCAGCUCCUUGGGCUGGUUCACUGACCGGCAGGAAUUAGAGAGCCCAGCCACUGCAGGGCUGGUAAUUAGCUGCUCUGAAAGUGUUUUUGUAGAAUCAAGUUUCCAGCAUGAGGGGAAGAGAGAAGUGUUUGUAACGCAAGCCGCCCCCGUGCUGCAGGAGCGGGGCAGACAGGGCUUGCAGGGGGAGGGACGCAGCUCCCACACUUCUGAGCAAAGGGAUUUUGCCUGAAAAUGACUUUUGUCCCCUCUUCUGUGCAGACAGCAGCCCAAAAUCCUUCCUCCCGUAGCGUCAAGAAGACCUCUUCCCCCGGCAGUGGUGCUGUGCUCCAAGCAGAGCACAACACCUCUCAUCGCGAGCCUGCCUCACUUAAAUCCUCACACUGUCACCGCCGAAAUGUUGCUGCAGAGACCUCGGAAUUCCCCGAGCAUUUGAUUUCAAGGGGUUAUUUCACAGGUAAGGAAUGCAGCCCUCUGCCUCCAUCGCACAUCUCCUUCCCCCACCAGGGGCCGGCCAGCCGCUCUCCUUGCCAGGCUGCGGUCCUGCUGAGGGGCUCAGUGCCACCCGCAGCUCCUAGGAAGCCUCACCCAGGCACUGCACGCAGCCCUUCCAUCCCUGCCCCACACCGCAGUGCGCCGAUCGCCACCCGGAGAUGCCUACAGAGCCUCCCAGCUACACGUCUGCGCUUGGAGUGCCCCAAUUACUGCGUGCAUGGGCAGAUCUGGGCAGUGCUAUGGGUGUACCUGCAUUCGCGUUAUCUGGGUUAGCAGCGAGCGGCACAGGAUGGGAGCUCGGGGAAUUGGGCAAACUAUUCAAAGCAAAAGAAAGCGUCUGAUGAAUUAGCCAAUGUUUGUGUUUGUGGAUGGUCCCCCAAAAAAAAGCAACAAAACCUCCAGUGCUUAGCAGCGCGUUUGUUACUCAAAAUUACUCCAUGAAUCACUUCUGACUGAGUACAUAUUGCAGUUUCUCAUGUCCUGUUUGUGUUUUUAUCUUUGAGCCCUGGCUGGCCCUAAUUUUGCUUGUGCUGAGUGGUUGAGUUCAGUCUUCCAAGUCCAUACAGAGCAUCACUCUUUCAUCCUGUGAAGUUUUGUGCAAACAGAACUUGCAACCAACCAAACCAAACCAAGCAAGCUGCCGCCAUUAAAAGUAAUUCACAGAUUCCUCGUGAGCAAAUGGGCACAUUUCUGCAGUACUCACUGCUGGCUCCUCCAAGGGACCACAAAGCAGUGCUGUCGGAGGGAGGUGACGCUCGGCGGCACACACUGCAGCUCUAUAGCUGAUGUUUUCUCAUCAG
ensembl:lncRNA